ensembl:lncRNA
CUUCACCUGUGCUCCUGCAGGAGUGUGAGGCUUAGCAGGAGGAGCAGGCUUGUGAAGCUGAUUCCCUGUGGUUGAUGAAGUCUCAGUAAAGCUGCUGGUGCCAUAAAAGAUUAUCUUUGGUUACUUACCCAAGUGAGGAAGCCUCUUCUGCUAGCUGCAUUCUUUUGUAUAUAUCCAGGAUAUGGGCAUCACAAGAUGCGGAUGGUUGCAAGAACUGUGGCAAGGUUAACGUAAGCUUCACUCUGCCUUCGGAAUUCCAUCUUGUGUUACACAGAUCUGUGAAGUUGCCUGUGGAGACUUAGGAAACUUGGAACAUUUUCAGUUUCACUUGAAAAAUGUGCUACUAUUCUUCAAUCCAUUGACCUAUGGAGGAAAGUAGUGAUGAAUGGAGAGGCAAGAUGAAUGAGUGACAUUUCUCUGGCAUGGGAUUUCCUUGAUUAGGCGUGGAGUUAACAUGAGUGGGGAAGAUUGUGCAAAGGCGGUCUUGGAGAAGAUCCUGAGAAGUCAUUAAGAUUCUGCUUGAUUAGGUACUUAGAAGAAUUUUAUUUCUGCUCUUAGAAGUAUUACUUUGCCUGUUACUAUAAUCAACCAUUUUGAGUGGUGUUCCUAUUAGAACAC